GGAAAGAUGAUUGAGUGGUUUAAGAUUUAGCAUUGGAAAUGCUACGUAGAUUUUUGUCUAUCGAGGGUUCGAAUCCCUCUCUUUCC
rnacentral:tRNA from 1 species